UUAUAAUGGUUGUCGUUAUUUUAUGAUAGACUAGAUUUAAAAUAAGUUGAAUAUUUGAGCAAUGAUAUAAUUCAAACAGAACUACAUAGAAAUGCUUUUUCUCGUGAAAAAUAAAAGGAUGGAAGUUUUAGUAAAAAUUCUAAGAACUCACAACAACAAUAAAGCUACAUUAUGGGUCAACAAACAUUACUUGUGCAGUGAUAGUUUUUCAACGAAAGAACAAUGUUAAAGUAAAAACUUUUUUCAUUGAGUUUUUUGUAGGUAGGUGUAUACCUACCCAAUAGUAUAAAAAAAUUAUAGAUAAAAUUUCAAUGUUAAGCGAAGUCACUUAAGUAACUUUUUCAAAUCGAUCAAAAUAAACAAUCUACCGAAAGUAUAAUAAAGUUACGAAUAUACGUAAAGUGGAAUUCUUGACUCAACUCAUCAACUAAAACGAAAGCCACAGAUAAAAUAUAAAGUUUGUCUCUGUUUUAUACUUCUUCAUUAUUUCUUUUCCUUACGAUUUUUUACUAUUUAUAAAUUGUGGAA